rnacentral:rRNA from 1 species
GAGUUUGAUCCUGGCUCAGAUUGAACGCUGGCGGCAUAGCUAAAACAUGCAAGUUGAGCGAAGCAGUAGCAAUACUGACUGAGCGGCGUAAGGGUGAGGAAUACAUUUCUAUGUACCCCAAGGUCGAGGAUAGCCAAGAGAAAUCUUGGGUAAUACUCGAUGUGGUCGUAAGAUCAAAGGUUUACCGCCUUGGGAGCGGGGAAUGUCCUAUCAGGUAGUUGGUGGGGUUACGGCUCACCAAGCCAAAGACGGGUAGCAGGUGUGAGAGCACGGCCUGCCACAUCGAAACUGAGACACUGUUCGGACUCCUACGGGAGGCUGCAGUAACGAAUCUUCCGCAAUGCGCGAAAGCGUGACGGGGUAAUGCCGCGUGCAGGAUGAAGCCCUUCGGGGUGUAAACUGCUGUCAGGGGCUAGGAAUUUCAUGACCAGCCCCAAAGGAAGAGCCGGCUACUCUGUGCCAGCAGCCGCGGUAAUACAGAGGGUGCGAGCGUUAAUCGGAAUCACUGGGCUUAAAGGGUGCGUAGGCGGAUGCAUAGGCGCUUUGUGAAAUCCCACGGCUCAACCGUGGAAUUGCUUGGCGAACCAUGCGUCUUGAGGUUGGUAGAGGUCACUGGAACGAUAGGUGGAGCGGUGAAAUGCGUAGAUAUCUAUCGGAACGCCAAAGGUGAAGACAGGUGACUGGGCCAAAUCUGACGCUGAGGCACGAAAGCGUGGGGAGCAAACGGGAUUAGAUACCCCGGUAGUCUUGGCUGUAAACGAUGAGCACUAGGUGUCGGGGGAAUCGACCCCCUCGGUGUCGUAGCCAACGCGUUAAGUGUUCCGCCUGGGGAGUACGCACGCAAGUGUGAAACUCAAAGGAAUUGACGGGGGCCCGCACAAGCGGUGGAGUAUGUGGUUUAAUUCGAUGCAACGCGAAGAACCUUACCAGGGCUUGACAUCCUGCGAAUCCCUUGGAAACGAGGGAGUGCCUUCGGGAGCGCAGAGACAGGUGGUGCAUGGCUGUCGUCAGCUCGUGUCGUGAGAUGUUGGGUUAAGUCCCGCAACGAGCGCAACC